GGAGCCGUAGCUUGGUUGGUUAAAGCACCUGUCUAGUAAACAGGAGGUCACGAAUUCAAAUCUCAUCGGUGCCU